rnacentral:rRNA from 1 species
GACGAACGCUGGCGGCGUGCCUAAUACAUGCAAGUAGAACGCAGUUGCGAACGGGUGAGUAACGCGUAGGUAACUGCCUCAUAGCGGGGGAUAACUAUUGGAAACGAUAGCUCAUACCGCAUACUGUGAGAUGGACCUGCGUUGUUUUUGCUAGUUGGUGAGGUAAAGGCUCACCAAGGCGACGAUACAUAGCCGACCUGAGAGGGUGAGCGGACAAACGGGGACUGAGACACGGCGUAGACUCAUACGGGAGGCAGCAGUAGGGAAUCUUGGGCAAUGGACGGAAGUCUGACCAAGAAACGACGCGUGAGUGAAGAAGGGUGUCGGAUCGUAAAGCUCUGUUGUUAGAGAAGCGGUAACUAGCCAGAAAGGGACGGCUAACUACGUGCCAGCAGCCGCGGUAAUAC